rnacentral:rRNA from 1 species
CUGCUGCCUUCCGUAGGAGUUUGGGCCGUGUCUCAGUCCCAAUGUGGCCGUUCACCCUCUCAGGCCGGCUACUGAUCGUCGCCUUGGUAGGCCGUUACCCCACCAACCAGCUAAUCAGACGCGGGCUCAUCUUAUACUACCGGAGUUUUUCACACAGAAACAUGCGUCCCCGUGCGCUUAUGCGGUAUUAGCAGUCAUUUCUAACUGUUAUCCCCCUGUAUAAGGCAGAUUACCCACGUGUUACUCACCCGUCCGCCGCUAA